rnacentral:tRNA from 1 species
CGGGGAUUAGCUCAGCUGGCUAGAGCGCCUGCCUUGCACGCAGGAGGUCAUCGGUUCGACUCCGAUAUUCUCCACGA